rfam:Candidatus Tzinura diaspidicola str. ASNER, complete genome.
GGGGCUGUCAUUGCAUUUGACAGCAAGAGAAUAUGAGUAAGUAAGCAUAUACGUGCUACGUAAGGCAAACACGAAAAUCUUGCGUUACAAAAUAUAAACGGCAAUGAAAACUAUGCUCUUGCUGCUUAAGAUAGCAAGAUAUCCUCAGAACUUAUGCCUUUAGAUUGUUCUGAACAAAGGGAUACGUAAAAGUAAGGCAAGGAAAAUGAAUACGUCUCUAUUAUUUUCCAUAAUUAAAUGAGGCUAAGCAAUUCAGAGAAUUCUCUACCUUCUCUGAACUGCCUAAAAAUUAAGGAAGAGAUAAGUAUGUAGAAAGCUUACAAAGCUCUUGUAUGGACGCGAGUUAAAUUCUCGCCAGCUCCACCA